CCGUGCCCCGGCUGCGGCAGCGGGAAGGGCCCGGGGAAGCCAUGCCCGGGGAGACGGGAACGCGGUGAGCGGCGGGACGGGACGGAGCGGCGAGGGGAAUGUGCGUGGGGGCAAUAAAUGUCUGAGCCCGCGGCAGCGGAGCUGCGUCCCGUGCCCCAGCACGGCUCCCGAGGCGGCCCCGGCAGCGGCAGACAAGGUUCUAAUUCCAGGACACUGCUGCAUGCAGUUGAAUCAAUGGUGAUCACAGCAGAUUCCUGACACUGUGAGAAGAAAUUCUGCUGUUCUUCUGCAGGGUCUUCAUACGGGCCUCCAAACUGAGCUGAACUUCUGGAAAGCAAGAAAAGACAACAUUUUAUUUAAAAAUAAACAAAGCAGCAUUGAUGAUUGGACUAAAACCCAGUGGAGAGAGAUUAAUGUGGAACAGAUGGAUGUGCGGCUCAGAAGGUUUGCCAAG